rnacentral:rRNA from 1 species
AGGGGACCUUCGGGCCUUUCGCUAACAGAUGAGCCUGCGUUGGAUUAGCUAGUUGGUGGGGUAAGGGCCCACCAAGGCGACGAUCCAUAGCUGGUCUGAGAGGACGAUCAGCCACACUGGGACUGAGACACGGCCCAGACUCCUACGGGAGGCAGCAGUGGGGAAUAUUGGACAAUGGGCGAAAGCCUGAUCCAGCAAUACCGCGUGUGUGAAGAAGGCCUUAGGGUUGUAAAGCACUUUCAAUUGGGAGGAAAACCUGCCGGCCAAUACCCGGUAGCUUGACAUUACCUUUAGAAGAAGCACCGGCUAACUCCGUGCCAGCAGCCGCGGUAAUACGGAGGGUGCGAGCGUUAAUCGGAAUUACUGGGCGUAAAGCGUGCGUAGGCGGUUCGUUAAGUCAGAUGUGAAAGCCCUGGGCUCAACCUGGGAACUGCAUUUGAAACUGGCGGACUAGAGUUUAGUAGAGGGGAGUGGAAUUUCAGGUGUAGCGGUGAAAUGCGUAGAUAUCUGAAGGAACACCAGUGGCGAAGGCGACUCCCUGGACUAGAACUGACGUUGAGGUACGAAAGCGUGGGUAGCAGACAGGAUUAGAUACCCUGGUAGUCCACGCCGUAAACGAUGUCGACUAGC